UACGAAGGGGGCUAGCGUUGCUCGGAAUUACUGGGCGUAAAGGGCGCGUAGGCGGCUUGGUCAGUCAGGCGUGAAAUUCCUGGGCUUAACCUGGGGACUGCGUUUGAUACGGCCAGGCUUGAGGAUGGAAGAGGGUCGCGGAAUUCCCAGUGUAGAGGUGAAAUUCGUAGAUAUUGGGAAGAACACCGGUGGCGAAGGCGGCGACCUGGUCCAUUACUGACGCUGAGGCGCGACAGCGUGGGGAGCAAACAGG
rnacentral:rRNA from 1 species